rnacentral:lncRNA from 1 species
AAAAUAUUAAGGAUCUUCAAGGCAUUAGCUUAACCAGCACCUACAAAAUCCCCACCCAGGUCAUGGCUUAAAGAUUCAAGGAGGUACUUGAUGAAGUUAUGUCCCCACAACAGGAAGCCCAGAUUUCAGUCCUAAUAAAUGGAUCACCGAGGGGUCCUUUGUCAUGCUCUAGACGGAUCAGGAAGGGUGACCCUUGUUUACCUUACUACUUGUGACCACAGCUGAAGCUUUUAGUCCAACAAUUAAGGAGGUCUAUAGAGCAGGAGGCUACGAGGCAUCUUCUGAGGGCUCAUCCUAGUUACCUACAGUAUAUGGCACAAAAGUAUUUUGUGAUCCGGACAUGAAGCACAUGGAUAAAGCUAUGGCUAUUCAUCAGAUGUUUCCAGGCACUUUCCAGAUUGAAGGGCAAUACGUUAAAGACAAACUCACGGGUCUAACAGUGAUUGACCAAGUUCUCAUUCAGCUGGAGAAGAGAGUGAUUUGUGGCACACCGGCACUGAUAGCAUCUGAAAUAAGUGGCGAGGUUUACCCCUCUGCUGAUUUAAGGCCCCCAAUGCAAAAUGGGAUGACAUAAUUGAGAGAUUUCAAGGAAAAUUUACACUGUGGAAGGCUCGGCUCGUCAUUAGGGGUCGCAUAACCCUAAUUAAAUCAAUUUUAUCCAAUCUCUAUAUUCCUUAUCCCUAUGCCCUGUUCCUCCUUCUAUUUCAUGUAGAACAAAGAGGAUGAUGCUUGCUUUCCUAGGAAUGGGGACUCUGAACAAAAAAGACUUCACCUAGUUAAAUGGAAAGUUGCAUGCAGGCCAAAGUGCUAAGUUGGACUAGUAUCAAAGAAGUAAUUAGACAAUGAUGGAGGUUAAGUGACCUUCAAGACACUUACAGAAGGGAGGAUACAGGCAUUGGGUGCUUAUCAAAUUGACCAUGUAAGAGAAAGGUUUAAGAUCAAUAGGAGAAUAGGUGAUGGGAAAACCCUUUCUUGGAAGGAUGUUUGGCUGCAGGUUAUGCCACCAAAAGAGAAGUACCACAAAUAUUUGUGAUAGCCAAUAGUUCUAAUGUGAAGGUUGUUGAUAGCACAAUGGAUCUGGGCACAGGACAGUGUGGAGCCCAUGCUUUAGAAAAGGCCUCGAGAUGCUAAUGGAGUUAGAGGGCAUCUACUACAUGCCCAGUAGGGAAGAUCAAAUGAGUUGGGCCCCUAACAGCCAUAAUGAGUUUUCUAGUAUAUCAUCCUACAAUAACCUCAUUCUGUUAUCCCUUGACAUCAUUUAUCCCAAGGAAACUGGGGCAUGCCCACUCCUUACAGAACAAUAGCCUUUCGUGGCUGGUUUCAUUGGAUAACAAUUGACCAUCUAAUACAUCACAGGUUGCCUAAUACAAAUUAAUGCAUUAUGUGCAAAGAAGAUGUAGAAUUGGUACAAUAUCAUCUGUUCUUAGCUCUUACAUUGCUCCAACAAUUGACCAUCUAAUACAUCACAGGUUGCCUAAUACAAAUUAAUGCAUUAUGUGCAAAGAAGAUGUAGGAUUGGUGCAACAUCAUCUGUUCUUAGUUCUUACAUUACUCCAACAAUUGACCAUCUAAUACAUCACAGGUUGCCUAAUACAAAUUAAUGCAUUAUGUGCAAACAAGAUGUAGGAUCGGUACAACAUCAUCUGUUCUUAGUUAUUACAUUGCUCCAACAAUUGACCAUCUAAUACAUCACAGGUUGCCUAAUGCAUUAUGUGCAAAGAAGAUGUAGGAUUGGUACAACAUCAUCUGUUCUUAGUUCUUACAUUGCUCCUUUGCUGGGAAUAUGUAGGAAGUGCAGUUGGAAUGGUUUGACAUACAAUGGGUACACCAGAACAGAUCGAGGAUUUGGUGAAACAAUGGUUCAUGUUAUGAAGACUGAUUUUAAUUUCUGUGCUGUGGAAAAUAUGCUUGAAUGUAUGGAAACUUACAUAUAAGUCCCAUUUUACU